GACGAACGCUGGCGGCGUGCCUAAUACAUGCAAGUCGAGCGGACCGACGGGAGCUUGCUCCCUUAGGUCAGCGGCGGACGGGUGAGUAACACGUGGGUAACCUGCCUGUAAGACUGGGAUAACUCCGGGAAACCGGGGCUAAUACCGGAUGCUUGAUUGAACCGCAUGGUUCAAUCAUAAAAGGUGGCUUUUAGCUACCACUUGCAGAUGGACCCGCGGCGCAUUAGCUAGUUGGUGAGGUAACGGCUCACCAAGGCAACGAUGCGUAGCCGACCUGAGAGGGUGAUCGGCCACACUGGGACUGAGACACGGCCCAGACUCCUACGGGAGGCAGCAGUAGGGAAUCUUCCGCAAUGGACGAAAGUCUGACGGAGCAACGCCGCGUGAGUGAUGAAGGUUUUCGGAUCGUAAAACUCUGUUGUUAGGGAAGAACAAGUACCGUUCGAAUAGGGCGGUACCUUGACGGUACCUAACCAGAAAGCCACGGCUAACUAC
rnacentral:rRNA from 1 species